UUACUUCCUCAAUUUUCUCCUACUCGUCUAGUUAUAUUUUAUUUGACGCAUGGGACCAUAUUUAAACUUUAGAAUGUUUUAUAAUCUAAAUUAUUAUAUAUUAUAGCUUGUCUUUCCAGCUACUUAUUGUUUGUCUGUCAAUCUCUAACUUGUUAUCUAAAAAAAAAGAAAACACAUAAAUUUUUUGAAAAAAAUAUCAUUGCAUAAAAUCAGGCGAAUAUAGUCAUUAAAUAUGAGUAGCAUAAAUAUACAGUGGACGGUUGUAAAUAGUUUAUAGCCCCGCGGCCUCUGUGAGCGAUUGGGAGGGUUUGGGGGCGGGGAGGCUGUGUUUACAUUUCAGACGGUGGAGGCAAUGUGACAGACUAGCGAGGGUUGAACGAUGCACAGUAUGUAUCACGCAGAGACUAUAGACAGUGGAAUUUAUCUGAACAUAUCGUAAAGUGCUGAGGUAGAGAAUGACAUAGUACAGGGACCAGAAAAAAUACCGCCCAGAUGACGCCAAGGGAUGGAGGAAACACUGACAACGUGUCCGGUAUCGAUUUAGCAUCAGCUGAGCUCUGCCACGCCACACUGGCGGCCCACCUGUAGGCCGCCCACUGCUGCCCCGCCGCCCUCAAGGUCACCCAGGCUAGUUGUCGCACCUUACAGGUGAGGUGAGGCAGGUGAGGCGAGAGCACCGUACAGCCAGCAGCAGUAGUGAGCCAGACGCGUGGUGUGGUGAAGUAAAGGACUGCAAGACGAGCUGCUGUGUUGACUGCUGGGCUGUUCCUUCCUCCUCCUGGCAACAUGGGUGCUCCUGAUGUGACUGUGGUGAGUGUUGUGUGGUGUUGUGGUGAGUGUUGUGUGGUGUUGUGGUGCGUGUGUGUGUGUGGAUUGACUUGGCGUUGCGUUUGUGUGUGUGUGUGUGUGUGUGUGUGUGUUAUAGAGGUGAAUGUUGGUGUUGUGUUAUCGUGUAUGUGUUUUUGGUUGACUUUAGGUAGUUUUUGUGUUUAGGUAAUGUGUGUUUUGUGUUUUAUUUUGCGAUAGCUAGAUGUGGAUGUGGUGAGUGUUGCUUUCCCUUUCCUUGCUUUCCUUCUUGGUUAACUUUCUGUUGCUUCGUCUCUUGUUCCUGUGGUGCGUGUUGUUGGUUUUAGAGGUGAAUAUAUUGAGUUGCUUUUCUUAUGGUGUUUUGUCUUUUGGUUACCUUCUCGUAGUUUUUUUUGUGUUGAGGUGAUGAGUGGCUUGUUUUGUUGUAGGUUUAGUACACGUUUCUGAAUUUUUUACCUCUUCGACUGGCGAGUGUGUUGUUUUUGUUUCGUGAUUCACUUAGCCUCGUCUUGUGCUGUGUGUUUUGUUUUGUUAUACGCUUAAAGUUCUUGCUUAAUUUGACUAAUAAUGUACGUUCUAUGUAUGUUUAUUAUUAUUAUUAUUAUUAUUAUUAUUAUUAUUAUUAUUAUUAUUAUUAUUAUUAUUUAUUUAUUUAUUUAUUUGUUUUUUUGCCAUAAACAUAUCUUGCUUUUAAAUUCACUGCAACUUAUGUUCCUCUUAAAAUUAAGGCAAAGUUUUUCUUCCUUCCGCUGUAUUUUGCGUAAUGUAGAGCAUACAUAAUUUUUUACAUGUAUUACAUAUUCGUUAACACAGCUAAGUAUCUUCACUCCGUUCUGAAUUUUUGCAAUUAAGGAAAACGAUAAAUUAGAAUAUCUGUUGUUACAUAUAGCAGACAUCAACAUAGGAAAGCUACAUUCCGUUCAUUACUAGGCUAUGAAUUCUCUCUCUCUCUCUCUCUCUCUCUCUCUCUCUCUCUCUCUCUCUCUCUCUCUCUCUCUCUCUCUCUCUCUCUCUCUC